rnacentral:rRNA from 1 species
CGUGUAGGUGGUUCUGUAAGUAGGGCGUGAAAGCUCCUGGCUCAACUGGGAGAGGCCGUUCUAAACUACAGAACUAGAGGAUGGUAGAGGGAGGUGGAAUUCCAGGUGUAGCGGUGGAAUGCGCAGAUAUCUGGAGGAACACCAGUGGCGAAGGCGGCCUCCUGGACCAUUCCUGACACUCAGACGCGAAAGCUAGGGUAGCAAACG